rnacentral:rRNA from 1 species
ACGGAAGGCAGCAGUGGGGAAUAUUGCACAAUGGGGGAAACCCUGAUGCAGCGACGCCGCGUGAGUGAAGAAGUAUUUCGGUAUGUAAAGCUCUAUCAGCAGGGAAGAUAAUGACGGUACCUGACUAAGAAGCCCCGGCUAACUACGUGCCAGCAGCCGCGGUAAUACGUAGGGGGCAAGCGUUAUCCGGAUUUACUGGGUGUAAAGGGAGCGUAGGUGGUUUGGCAAGUCUGAUGUGAAAGCCCGGGGCUUAACUCCGGGAUUGCAUUGGAAACUGUCAAACUAGAGUACUGGAGAGGCAAGUGGAAUUCCUAGUGUAGCGGUGAAAUGCGUAGAUAUUAGGAGGAACACCAGUGGCGAAGGCGGCUUGCUGGACAGUUACUGACACUGAGGCUCGAAAGCGUGGGGAGCAAACAGGAUUAGAUACCCUGGUA